AAAUUGAAGAGUUUGAUCAUGGCUCAGAUUGAACGCUGGCGGCAGGCCUAACACAUGCAAGUCGAGCGGUAGCACAGAGAGCUUGCUCUCGGGUGACGAGCGGCGGACGGGUGAGUAAUGUCUGGGAAACUGCCUGAUGGAGGGGGAUAACUACUGGAAACGGUAGCUAAUACCGCAUAACGUCGCAAGACCAAAGUGGGGGACCUUCGGGCCUCAUGCCAUCAGAUGUGCCCAGAUGGGAUUAGCUAGUAGGUGGGGUAACGGCUCACCUAGGCGACGAUCCCUAGCUGGUCUGAGAGGAUGACCAGCCACACUGGAACUGAGACACGGUCCAGACUCCUACGGGAGGCAGCAGUGGGGAAUAUUGCACAAUGGGCGCAAGCCUGAUGCAGCCAUGCCGCGUGUGUGAAGAAGGCCUUCGGGUUGUAAAG
rnacentral:rRNA from 1 species